AUUGAACGCUGGCGGCAGGCCUAACACAUGCAAGUCGAGCGGAGCGGCGGACGGGUGAGUAAUGCCUAGGAAUCUGCCUGGUAGUGGGGGAUAACGUCCGGAAACGGGCGCUAAUACCGCAUACUAUCAGAUGAGCCUAGGUCGGAUUAGCUAGUUGGUGGGGUAAAGGCCUACCAAGGCGACGAUACGUAGCUGGUCUUAGAGGAGGAUCAGUAAAACUGGAACGGAGACACGGCCCAGAAUGCUACGGGAGGCAGCAGGGGGGAAUAUUGGACAAUGGGCGAAAGCCUGAUCCAGCCAUGCAGCGUGUGUGAAGAAGGUCUUCGGAUUGUAAAGCACUUUAAGGUGGGAGGCGUUACCAGCAGAAUAAGCACCGGCUAACUUCGUGCCAGCAGCCGCGGUAAUUC
rnacentral:rRNA from 1 species